GACGAACGCUUGCGGCGUGCUUAACACAUGCAAGUCGAACGGAAAGGCCCUGCUUUUGUGGGGUGCUCGAGUGGCGAACGGGUGAGUAACACGUGAGUAACCUGCCCUUGACUUUGGGAUAACUUCAGGAAACUGGGGCUAAUACCGGAUAGGAGCUCCUGCUGCAUGGUGGGGGUUGGAAAGUUUCGGCGGUUGGGGAUGGACUCGCGGCUUAUCAGCUUGUUGGUGGGGUAGUGGCUUACCAAGGCUUUGACGGGUAGCCGGCCUGAGAGGGUGACCGGCCACAUUGGGACUGAGAUACGGCCCAGACUCCUACGGGAGGCAGCAGUGGGGAAUAUUGCACAAUGGGCGGAAGCCUGAUGCAGCAACGCCGCGUGCGGGAUGACGGCCUUCGGGUUGUAAACCGCUUUCGCCUGUGACGAAGCGUGAGUGACGGUAAUGGGUAAAGAAGCACCGGCUAACUACGUGCCAGCAGCCGCGGUGAUACGUAGGGUGCGAGCGUUGUCCGGAUUUAUUGGGCGUAAAGGGCUCGUAGGUGGUUGAUCGCGUCGGAAGUGUAAUCUUGGGGCUUAACCCUGAGCGUGCUUUCGAUACGGGUUGACUUGAGGAAGGUAGGGGAGAAUGGAAUUCCUGGUGGAGCGGUGGAAUGCGCAGAUAUCAGGAGGAACACCAGUGGCGAAGGCGGUUCUCUGGGCCUUUCCUGACGCUGAGGAGCGAAAGCGUGGGGAGCGAACAGGCUUAGAUACCCUGGUAGUCCACGCUGUAAACGGUGGGUACUAGGUGUGGGGUCCAUUCCACGGGUUCCGUGCCGUAGCUAACGCUUUAAGUACCCCGCCUGGGGAGUACGGCCGCAAGGCUAAAACUCAAAGGAAUUGACGGGGCCCCGCACAAGCGGCGGAGCAUGCGGAUUAAUUCGAUGCAACGCGUAGAACCUUACCUGGGUUUGACAUGGAUCGGGAGUGCUCAGAGAUGGGUGUGCCUCUUUUGGGGUCGGUUCACAGGUGGUGCAUGGCUGUCGUCAGCUCGUGUCGUGAGAUGUUGGGUUAAGUCCCGCAACGAGCGCAACCCUUGUUCACUGUUGCCAGCACGUUAUGGUGGGGACUCAGUGGAGACCGCCGGGGUCAACUCGGAGGAAGGUGGGGAUGACGUCAAGUCAUCAUGCCCCUUAUGUCCAGGGCUUCACGCAUGCUACAAUGGCUGGUACAGAGAGUGGCGAGCCUGUGAGGGUGAGCGAAUCUCGGAAAGUCGGUCUCAGUUCGGAUUGGGGUCUGCAACUCGACCUCAUGAAGUCGGAGUCGCUAGUAAUCGCAGAUCAGCAACGCUGCGGUGAAUACGUUCCCGGGGCU
rnacentral:rRNA from 1 species